rnacentral:rRNA from 1 species
GAUGAACGCUGGCGGCGUGCCUAAUACAUGCAAGUCGAGCGAACGGACGAGAAGCUUGCUUCUCUGAUGUUAGCGGCGGACGGGUGAGUAACACGUGGAUAACCUACCUAUAAGACUGGGAUAACUUCGGGAAACCGGAGCUAAUACCGGAUAAUAUUUUGAACCGCAUGGUUCAAAAGUGAAAGACGGUCUUGCUGUCACUUAUAGAUGGAUCCGCGCUGCAUUAGCUAGUUGGUAAGGUAACGGCUUACCAAGGCAACGAUGCAUAGCCGACCUGAGAGGGUGAUCGGCCACACUGGAACUGAGACACGGUCCAGACUCCUACGGGAGGCAGCAGUAGGGAAUCUUCCGCAAUGGGCGAAAGCCUGACGGAGCAACGCCGCGUGAGUGAUAAAGGUCUUCGGAUCGUAAAACCCUGUUAUUAGGGAAGAACAUAUGUGUAAGUAACUGUGCACAUCUUGACGGUACCUAAUCAGAAAGCCACGGCUAACUACGUG